UACGUAGGGGGCAAGCGUUGUCCGGAAUCAUUGGGCGUAAAGCGCGUGUAGGCGGCCCGGUAAGUCCGCUGUGAAAGUCCAGGGCUCAACCCUGGGAUGCCGGUGGAUACUGUCGGGCUCGAGUCCGGAAGAGGCGAGUGGAAUUCCUGGUGUAGCGGUGAAAUGCGCAGAUAUCAGGAAGAACACCCGUGGCGAAGGCGGCUCUCUGGGACGGUACUGACGCUGAGACGCGAAAGCGUGGGGAGCGAACAGG
rnacentral:rRNA from 2 species